CGGCUGUCCAAUGGCGGCUCGGCAAAUGCUGGUUGCGGGGCCCGCCCGCACGGCUCUGGGCGGCGCUGGAGCGGGCGGGCGCUGAGGCGGCCGUUUCCUGUCCUGGUGCAUGGUGGUCGGACGGAGGAAUUGUUGGAAAAUUUCUCGGCGAGAUAAACCAUGUUAUUAGCCCAGAUAAAUCGAGACUCUCAGGGAAUGACUGAGUUUUCUGGAGGAGGGAUGGAGGCUCAGCAUGUAACUCUCUGUUUGACAGAAGCAGUAGCUGUGCAAGAUGGUGACAAUUUAGAAAACAUGGAAGGUGUAAGUUUGCAGGCAGUUACGCUUGCUGAUGGCUCCACUGCUUACAUACAGCACAAUUCUAAAGAUGGUAAAUUAAUGGAUGGCCAGGUGAUUCAACUAGAAGAUGGCUCUGCUGCCUAUGUUCAACAUGUAUCCAUGCCAAAAAGUAGGGACAGUCUGCGCCUGGAAGAUGGACAGGCAGUUCAGCUGGAAGAUGGAACUACUGCAUUUAUUCAUCAUGCUUCAAAAGACAGUUAUGACCAGAGUGCAUUACAGGCAGUCCAGCUGGAAGAUGGAACCACUGCUUACAUUCACCAUACAGUUCAAAUGCCACAGUCAGAUACCAUCUUAGCUAUUCAAGCUGAUGGCACAGUAGCAGGCCUUCAUACAGGAGAUGCUACAAUUGAUCCAGAUACCAUCAGUGCUUUGGAGCAGUAUGCAGCCAAGGUGUCUAUUGAUGGAAAUGAAAGUGUUAGUAGCUCAGGAAUGAUAGGUGAAAAUGAACAAGAGAAAAAAAUGCAGAUUGUCUUGCAAGGACAUGGAACAAGAGUGACAGCUAAAUCUCAGCCAAGUGGAGAGAAGGCUUUUCGCUGUGAAUAUGAUGGCUGUGGAAAAUUGUACACAACAGCUCACCAUCUUAAGGUGCAUGAAAGGUCACACACAGGAGAUCGACCAUAUCAAUGUGAACAUCCUGGUUGCGGCAAAGCAUUUGCAACAGGUUAUGGAUUAAAAAGCCAUGUCCGAACCCAUACUGGAGAGAAGCCCUAUCGGUGUACGGAGGAGAACUGCACCAAGUCAUUCAAGACUUCUGGGGACCUGCAGAAACAUAUCAGAACCCACACAGGUGAAAGACCAUUCAAAUGUCCCUUUGAAGGCUGUGGAAGGUCGUUCACAACAUCCAAUAUUAGAAAAGUUCACAUCAGGACGCAUACUGGUGAAAGACCCUAUUACUGUACAGAACCAGGAUGUGGGAGAGCAUUUGCCAGUGCAACCAAUUACAAGAACCAUGUGAGAAUACAUACAGGUGAGAAGCCCUAUGUCUGCACAGUUCCUGGCUGUGACAAACGUUUCACAGAAUAUUCCAGUUUAUACAAACAUCAUGUUGUACAUACUCAUUCCAAACCAUACAACUGCAAUCACUGUGGGAAAACAUACAAGCAGAUUUCCACACUUGCUAUGCACAAGCGGACAGCGCACAACGACACAGAGCCAAUUGAAGAAGAGCAGGAAGCUUUCUUUGAGCCGCCUCCAGGUCAAGGUGAAGAUGUUCUAAAAGGCUCCCAGAUAACCUAUGUCACAGGUGUAGAUGGGGAGGAUGUCGUUUCCGCACAAGUUGCUACAGUUACUCAGUCAGGGCUUGGUCAACAAGUUGCAUUAAUUUCCCAGGAUGGGACCCAGCAUGUCAACAUCUCUCAGGCUGACAUGCAGGCCAUUGGAAAUACUAUUACUAUGGUAACACAAGAUGGCACCACCAUCACAGUCCCUGCCCAUGAUGCAGUCAUUUCUUCUGCAGGAACACAUUCUGUUGCAAUGGUAACUGCAGAGGGCACUGAAGGACAGCAGGUUGCUAUAGUGGCUCAAGAUUUAGCAUUCCAUAGUGCCCCAUCAGAAAUGGGACAUCAGCAACAUGGGCAUCACUUAGUGACUACAGAAACCAGGCCUGUUACAUUGUUGGCUACAUCCAAUGGAACGCAAAUUGCAGUGCAGGUUCCUCAUCUAGAGUCAGUUCCCAGACACUUCAUCCCCCUUGGUUGAAGGAUUCAACUUUCUCAGAUUACAAGAGCACUGGCCCUUUGUCUCUGUCCUAUGAUGGAUCACGAAAUGGCUUUUUGCUUCUGCUUAUAUCUUCCCAAAGUUUAUUGAUCUUGUUUCAAGAGGCAGGAAGGCGUCCUGGUGGUGCAGCCACAAUCCCCUGUCGUGAUUGUUAAGUGGUCAUCUUCUGCCAGUUGCUCACCUGAUGACUUUGUUUACCUUACACCUUGGAGAGCAGCAGUCUUUGGAAGAAGCCAUCAGAAUAGCCUCCAGAAUACAACAGGGUGAAACACCAGGGAUUGAUGAUUAACUUCUAAUACUGCUACAAGAACAAUAGAGCAAAUGAUAUUUUAUUUUCAAUCAACAAAGGUCCAUGCCAGCUGCAAUCCAUAAAAACUUUGAUGUUUUCCUGCUCAUUCAUACUCUGUACACAUUUUAUGCAAGAGCGAAGAACAUUUUAAAACGCGCAUAACUUUUGUGUACCUGACCCGUGGAAUAGACCAGCACAAUCUUCUCAACCCAUUGUGUAUCCAGGAAUAUGAAAUUAGGAUUACAUAAUAAAUUUCCUCAUUAUCCUUUCGUCAGAUUUCAACCAGUCUACAAAAAAGCAAAAGCUGAUGUAGAAGUAUUGGAAUGAAUUUUUAAUAUAAUGUGCAAAAUAAUGAAGGCAUUAUUGAAGAUUUCAAAUGUUUAAAAUAUUAUACCAAAAUCAUUUCAGGAACCCUUACAGGUAAUAAAGAAAGUAAAGCAUUUUAAUUGUCUCCCAUAAAUAGAAGAAUCUUGGAGUUAAGCCUACUGUAAAUCUUUGCAUUUUGAUUUGCAUUUCAUACAGAUUUGAAGAUUCUUCUUAUUUAGAUUCCCUGCCCAGCUCAUUCAUUGUACAUACAGACUGUUAAUGCUGGAAGUGCUAAUUAUAUUAUCUUAAAAAUGGAUUAUGUACAAAAGAGAAACUUUGGUUGUUCAAUAUUAAAGGAAGUAAAUCUAA